AGGAAGUGUUGGCAGUCAAGUGCAAAAAAACUGGCUUGGAGGACAUGAUGGAAUACUCUCUUAUAACAGUUAUGGCUGUUCAUAUCUGAGGGUUUCAUGUCUAACUCUCUCUCGUGUCACUUUGCAGCAUUAGGAACGAAACAAGGAGAGCGAGCUUCUUGAUUCUUCACUGUUGAUAAGUUUCUUUCUCGCAUUUUUUGCAGUUGUCACUGUUUCUGAGUCUCCAGAAUGAAUGCUUUGGAAAUGGGUAUGUAUGUGAUUUACAGUGUUUGCAACGUAAGUUGAAUGUGUUUGCAAAAGAACAGGUCAUGAGUACUGGGAAGAUGAAGGCAUUGAAGAGAAAAAGCCAGCAUGCAGGCAAAUGAUGAACA
rnacentral:lncRNA from 1 species